GCGGAUGUGGCGGAAUUGGCAGACGCACUAGACUUAGGAUCUAGCGCAUUAGCGUGGGGGUUCGAGUCCCUUCAUCCGCA
rnacentral:tRNA from 1 species